UAUUGCACAAUGGGGGAAACCCUGAUGCAGCGACGCCGCGUGAGCGAAGAAGUAUUUCGGUAUGUAAAGCUCUAUCAGCAGGGAAGAANNUGACGGUACCUGAUUAAGAAGCACCGGCUAACUACGUGCCAGCAGCCGCGGUAAUACGUAGGGGGCAAGCGUUAUCCGGAUUUACUGGGUGUAAAGGGAGCGUAGACGGGAGCACAAGUCUGGAGUGAAAUGCCGGGGCUUAACCCCGGAACUGCUUUGGAAACUGUGGAGCUAGAGUGCAGGAGAGGUAAGUGGGAUUCCUAGUGUAGCGGUGAAAUGCGUAGAUAUUAGGAGGAACACCAGAGGCGAAGGCGGCUUACUGGACUGUAACUGACGUUGAGGCUCGAAAGCGUGGGGAGCAAACAGG
rnacentral:rRNA from 1 species